rnacentral:rRNA from 1 species
UACGUAGGGUGCAAGCGUUGUCCGGAAUUAUUGGGCGUAAAGAGCUCGUAGGCGGUUUGUCGCGUCGGCUGUGAAAACUCGGGGCUCAACCCCGAGCCUGCAGUCGAUACGGGCAAACUAGAGUGUGGUAGGGGAGACUGGAAUUCCUGGUGUAGCGGUAAAAUGCGCAGAUAUCAGGAGGAACACCGGUGGCGAAGGCGGGUCUCUGGGCCGUAACUGACGCUGAGGAGCGAAAGCGUGGGGAGCGAACAGG